AAAGACUGCAGGCCUGACCCAGGCCAGAGGAGUGGAGAAGCGCAGCACUGCUGUCACCUAACUGAGCUCAGACCCUCAAGCCAGAGCUGCUCUGAAGAGCAGCGGGGAAGGGGGCAGCCAGACGGAUGUUCGCCUGCCAGAGAGAGAAGACACAGAGGGUCCUUGGUCUCUGCGCCUGCAGCAGCAGGUCCUCCUUCAACAGCUCAGAGAUGCCCAAACUGCUCUUAGCUGGAACGAAUUACUUCUUGCCAGGCUUGAAAUUCGUUUCAGGUGGGAGGAGAACAUUGCCGUAAGUGGAGAUUGCAGAGUUGGCAAAAUGAAGUGAGGCUGUAGGACUGGGACCUGGUACCUGGUACGUUAAGGGACUGAAGCCUAGAGGGUCAGUCUGAAUUGGCCUUCAUUUUUAUUUUCCACCCAUGCCCCAAAGAGUGCUUUUAAAAGUGACUCUACCAUGGCACACGUUUACCUAUGUAACAAACCUUCAUGUCCUGCACGUGUAUCCCGGAACUUAAAAUAAAAUAAAAUAAAAUUUUAAUUAAAAAA
ensembl:lncRNA novel transcript